rnacentral:rRNA from 1 species
AUUCUGGCUCAGGAUGAACGCUAGCGGCAGGCUUAACACAUGCAAGUCGAGGGGCAUCGGGAGUAGCAAUACUUGCCGGCGACCGGCGCAAGGGUGCGUAACGCGUGAGCAACAUGCCCGUAUCAGGGGGAUAAUCCAUGGAAACGUGGUCUAAUACCCCAUAGUAAUUAUGUAAGGCAUCUUAUAUAAUUUAAAGCUUUGGUGGAUACGGAUUGGCUCGCGUGACAUUAGCUGGAUGGUAAGGUAACGGCUUACCAUGGCUACGAUGUCUAGGGGUUCUGAGAGGAAGGUCCCCCCACACUGGAACUGAGACACGGUCCAGACUCCUACGGGAGGCAGCAGUGAGGAAUAUUGGACAAUGGAUGGAAAUCUGAUCCAGCCAUGCCGCGUGCAAGGAAGACGGCCCUAUGGGUUGUAAACUGCUUUUGUAUGGGAGCAAUAAGGGCUACGUGUAGUCCGAUGAGAGUACCAUACGAAUAAGCACCGGCUAACUCCGUGCCAGCCGCGGC